rnacentral:misc_RNA from 1 species
GAUGAAGAACGCAGCGAAAUGCAAUAAGUAAUGUGAAUUGCAGAAUUCAGUGAAUCAUCGAAUCUUUGAACGCACCUUGCACCCUUUGGCAUUCCGAAGGGUAUGCUCGUUUGAGUGUCAUUGUACUCUCACACUUCCAAUCUUUGGAUUGGGAGCAGUGGACUUGGGUGUUGCUGCUUACUGUGGCUCACCUCAAAUCGAUUCGUGCACCUCUUGGUUGGACAUAGUACGGCGUGAUAAGUGUCUUCGCCGGCACCUCAGUAGAGGGUGGCUGAUCAGGAGCUCUGUGCUUCAAACCGUCCUCGGACAACAACUGACAACUUGACCUCAAAUCGAGUAGGACUACCCGCUGAACUUAAGCAUAUCAAUAAGCGGAGGA